rnacentral:rRNA from 1 species
UAUCACGGGAGACACACGGCGGGUGCUAACGUCCGUCGUGAAGAGGGAAACAACCCAGACCGCCAGCUAAGGUCCCAAAGUCAUGGUUAAGUGGGAAACGAUGUGGGAAGGCCCAGACAGCCAGGAUGUUGGCUUAGAAGCAGCCAUCAUUUAAAGAAAGCGUAAUAGCUCACUGGUCGAGUCGGCCUGCGCGGAAGAUGUAACGGGGCUAAACCAUGCACCGAAGCUGCGGCAGCGACACUGUGUGUUGUUGGGUAGGGGAGCGUUCUGUAAGCCUGUGAAGGUGUGUCGUGAGGCAUGCUGGAGGUAUCAGAAGUGCGAAUGCUGACAUAAGUAACGAUAAAGCGGGUGAAAAGCCCGCUCGCCGGAAGACCAAGGGUUCCUGUCCAACGUUAAUCGGGGCAGGGUGAGUCGACCCCUAAGGCGAGGCCGAAAGGCGUAGUCGAUGGGAAACGGGUUAAUAUUCCCGUACUUGGUGUUACUGCGAAGGGGGGACGGAGAAGGCUAUGUUGGCCGGGCGACGGUUGUCCCGGUUUAAGCGUGUAGGUGUGUGUUCCAGGUAAAUCCGGUUCACUUUAACACUGAGGCGUGACGACGAGGCACUACGGUGCUGAAGCAACAAAUGCCCUGCUUCCAGGAAAAGCCUCUAAGCAUCAGGUAACAUCAAAUCGUACCCCAAACCGACACAGGUGGUCAGGUAGAGAAUACCAAGGCGCUUGAGAGAACUCGGGUGAAGGAACUAGGCAAAAUGGUGCCGUAACUUCGGGAGAAGGCACGCUGACACGUAGGUGAAGUGAUUUACUCAUGGAGCUGAAGUCAGUCGAAGAUACCAGCUGGCUGCAACUGUUUAUUAAAAACACAGCACUGUGCAAACACGAAAGUGGACGUAUACGGUGUGACGCCUGCCCGGUGCCGGAAGGUUAAUUGAUGGGGUCAGCGCAAGCGAAGCUCCUGAUCGAAGCCCCGGUAAACGGCGGCCGUAACUAUAACGGUCCUAAGGUAGCGAAAUUCCUUGUCGGGUAAGUUCCGACCUGCACGAAUGGCGUAAUGAUGGCCAGGCUGUCUCCACCCGAGACUCAGUGAAAUUGAACUCGCUGUGAAGAUGCAGUGUACCCGCGGCAAGACGGAAAGACCCCGUGAACCUUUACUAUAGCUUGACACUGAACAUUGAGCCUUGAUGUGUAGGAUAGGUGGGAGGCUUUGAAGUGUGGACGCCAGUCUGC